GUCCUAGCUGUAAACGAUGAGCACUAGGUCGUGGGUCCACCCGAGUGGAAUCACGGCCGACGGGAAUCCAUUAAGUGCUCCGCCUGGGGAGUACGGCCGCAAGGCUAAAACUCAAAGGAAUUUACGGGGCUCGCACAAGCGGUGGAGGAUGUUGUUCAAUUCGAUGCGACGCGCAGAACCUUACCUGGGCUUGACAUGCUACUGGUACCGAACUGAAAAGGGAGGACCCGCAAGGGAGGUAGCACAGGUGUUGCAUGGCUGUCGU
rnacentral:rRNA from 1 species